rnacentral:rRNA from 2 species
GCUAGUUGGAGGGGUAACGGCCCACCAAGGCUACGAUGUCUAGGGGCUCUGAGAGGAGAAUCCCCCACACUGGUACUGAGACACGGACCAGACUCCUACGGGAGGCAGCAGUAAGGAAUAUUGGUCAAUGGAGGGAACUCUGAACCAGCCAUGCCGCGUGCAGGAUGACUGCCCUAUGGGUUGUAAACUGCUUUUGUCAGGGAAUAAACCUUUCCACGUGUGGGAAGCUGAAUGUACCUGAAGAAUAAGGAUCGGCUAACUCCGUGCCAGCAGCCGCGGUAAUACGGAGGAUCCAAGCGUUAUCCGGAUUUAUUGGGUUUAAAGGGUGCGUAGGCGGUCCUAUAAGUCAGUGGUGAAAGACGGCAGCUUAACUGUCGCAGUGCCUUUGAUACUGUAGGACUUGAAUCUAUUUGAAGUGGGCGGAAUAAGACAAGUAGCGGUGAAAUGCAUAGAUAUGUCUUAGAACUCCGAUUGCGAAGGCAGCUCACUAAGUUAGUAUUGACGCUGAUGCACGAAAGCGUGGGGAUCAAACAGGAUUAGAUACCCUGGUAGUCCACGCCCUAAACGAUGAUAACUCGAUGUUUGCGAUACACAGUAAGCGUCCAAGCGAAAGCGUUAAGUUAUCCACCUGGGGAGUACGGUCGCAAGAUUGAAACUCAAAGGAAUUGACGGGGGCCCGCACAAGCGGAGGAGCAUGUGGUUUAAUUCGAUGAUACGCGAGGAACCUUACCC